rnacentral:rRNA from 1 species
UACGGGGGGGGGCAAGCGUUGUUCGGAAUUACUGGGCGUAAAGGGCUCGUAGGCGGCCAACUAAGUCAGACGUGAAAAUCCCUCAGCUUAACUGGGGAACUGCGUCUGAUACUGGAUGGGCUAGAGUGUGGGAGAGGGAUGCGGAAUUCCAGGUGUAGCGGUGAAAUGCGUAGAUAUCUGGAGGAACACCGGUGGCGAAGGCGGCAUCCUGGACCACGACUGACGGCUGAGUGAGCGAAAGCCAGGGGAGCAAACGGG